rnacentral:lncRNA from 1 species
AGAGCCCUUGGUUUCUAAGAAAGGUUUACCUCAAAAUAAACAGGGCUCAAAAUACUCAGGUAUUUUGUCCAUUCACAUGUCUCAAAAUAGAAUAAUUUCUGCUUUCUAGCUUACAUUUUUAUUCUUUGGCUCAAACAGGACCGUGCUAGGAUGAGACUUUUGGCCUUUCGGUGCUUGUGCUAACUACCAGUUUGUAAUUAAAGCCCAACAACUCCAAAACUCUGCCGGGAUAGAACUCAUGUAGCAGGGUCCAAGUUGAAUCAAGAUAUGAGCGCAGAGAAGUUUAAAUUUGAAUAAUACAAGGGGACGGCAGAACUUCUGAUGCCAGAAUCCCAGGGGAGAGUCCCACAUGGGGAGAGGAAGGAAGAGAAGAGGUGGCCAUGAGGCCAAAUGUGUAGGAAGAGGUCACCAAGGGAUUUGCCGUGAGGACACAUGGAUUAGAGCAAGCCUGGGACGGCAGGAUCCCAGGAAAGGUCUGCUGGAGUUGGGGCCUCGGAUAGCUAGCCGGAUGAGUAGGAAAAAGGUUGGAGAAGACCUGGACAUGGGCGACAAAAGAAGGGUGUCACAGCGAGUGGUCUGCUAUAGAUAGGAGGGUGAGACUGAGGGACUGAAUUUGGAAGAACAGUAGGAGAGGUGAAGAGCUACAUUUGGUUGCCUGCUUCCCUGGUCCAAGUGUUCUGUGGAAUCCUAGGGAGAGUCUUUUGGACUUGGAGUCCAGGACAAAUCAAUGAGUGAAAGGAGAGAAGAUAGGAAGGGAAGAUCUUGCGAUUCACUGGAGAUGGGAGCACAGUGGGGAGGUAAGGGUCCAAAAAAUUGCCGAAGGAAGGCCUCAGAUUCAGAUAGUAUGCAAACACAGAGAGCAUUUAUUUUUCAGAAACAAUCAGCAUGUAGGAAUCAACUAUUCUUUGAAGUGGUGAUCCCAGACAAAGGCACACCGGCCAUCCUAUAGGGAGCCAGAAGAACUCUAGAGGGGUCAAAAGGGAUUAGUGGUCUGCAUUCCCAUGUUAGGAAUAUUCAACCAUGUGUGGUCAGUGGUCUGCAUUCCCCUGCCACAAACCUUCCUGAAAUAGGGCUAUCCAGCGCAGAUGGCCCAUUCUGCGAUAAGAUAUUUCCCCAUUUCUGUGGUUAUCCCUAGGCUGUUCUUUGGGAGGGGGUUUCAUGAUCUUGUUCGGGAUUUUAUGGUCUGUUCCUAGAGCUGUGUCUUAUGACCUAGUUUAUGGGACUUAAGGUCUAUUCCUGAAGCUGGUGCCUUGUGGGUUUUUUUUGAAAUCAGGCCUGGUCCUCAAAAUGGAGACAAAUGGGGUUUAUAUUAAUGUAGCAGGGGAUUCUGCUACACUGUUUUGUGCUCCCAGCAGACCACAUACAACACCUGCCCAGGAACUAUCUUUGGAUCUGCAAAAUGAAACACACACACACACACACACACACACACACACACACACACACACACACACA